AGUGGGGAAUCUUGGACAAUGGGGGCAACCCUGAUCCAGCGAUGCCGCGUGUGUGAAGAAGGCCUGCGGGUUGUAAAGCACUUUUAGCGGGGAAGAAGGCAGUUAGGUUAAGAGCUAAGCUGUUUGACGUUACCCGCAGAAAAAGCACCGGCUAACUCUGUGCCAGCAGCCGCGGUAAUACAGAGGGUGCGAGCGUUAAUCGGAAUUACUGGGCGUAAAGGGCCUGUAGGCGGUUUUACAAGUUAUGUGUGAAAGACUCGGGCUUAACCGGAGCAGUGCAUGUAAGACUGUAAGGCUAGAGUAUGGUAGAGGGAAGCGGAAUUUCCGGUGUAGCGGUGAAAUGCGUAGAUAUCGGAAGGAACACCAAUGGCGAAGGCAGCUUUCUGGACCAAGACUGACGCUGAGGGGCGAAAGCGUGGGUAGCGAA
rnacentral:rRNA from 1 species